rnacentral:rRNA from 1 species
CAAGUCGAGGGGCAGCGGAGGAGGCAGCAAUGCUUCUGCCGGCGACCGGCGAAUGGGUGAGUAACACGUAUCCAACCUGGCCCGCACUCGGAGACAGCCUUUCGAAAGAAAGAUUAAUACCCGAUGCGGCCGCGUUCCCACAUGGGAUUGCGGUCAAAGAUUCAUCGGUGCGGGACGGGGAUGCGCCUGAUUAGGCAGUUGGCGGGGUAACGGCCCACCAAGCCGACGAUCAGUAGGGGUUCUGAGAGGAAGGUCCCCCACAUUGGAACUGAGACACGGUCCAAACUCCUACGGGAGGCAGCAGUGAGGAAUAUUGGUCAAUGGGCGGAAGCCUGAACCAGCCAAGUAGCGUGCAGGACGACGGCCCUCUGGGUUGUAAACUGCUUUUGUGCGGGGGUAAUGUGGCCCACGUGUGGGUUAUUGCAAGUACCGCACGAAUAAGCAUCGGCUAACUCCGUGCCAGCAGCCGCGGUAAUACGGAGGAUGCGAGCGUUAUCCGGAUUUAUUGGGUUUAAAGGGAGCGUAGGUGGCCGGUUAAGUCAGUUGUGAAAAGCAGGUGCUCAACAUCUGCCUUGCAGUUGAAACUGUCCGGCUUGAGCGUGUGAGAGGCAGGCGGAAUUCGUGGUGUAGCGGUGAAAUGCUUAGAUAUCACGAAGAACUCCGAUUGCGAAGGCAGCUUGCUGGCCCACGUCUGACACUAAUGCUCGAAAGUGCGGGUAUCGAACAGGAUUAGAUACCCUGGUAGUCCGCACAGUAAACGAUGAAUACUCGCUGUUUGCGAUAGAAUGUAAGCGGCCAAGCGAAAGCGUUAAGUAUUCCACCUGGGGAGUACGCCGGCAACGGUGAAACUCAAAGGAAUUGACGGGGGCCCGCACAAGCGGAGGAACAUGUGGUUUAAUUCGAUGAUACGCGAGGAACCUUACCCGGGCUUGAAUUGCAUACGACGUGCGCGGAGACG